UCUCAUAUGGUAACUUUAUUU
rnacentral:piRNA from 1 species